GAUGAACGCUAGCGGCAGGCUUAAUACAUGCAAGUCGAGGGACAGCACAGGUAGCAAUACUGGGUGGUAACCGGCAAACGGGUGCGGAACACGUACACAACCUUCCUUUAAGUGGGGGAUAGCCCAGAGAAAUUUGGAUUAAUACCCCGUAAUAUAGUUGAAUGGCAUCAUUUGAUUAUUAUAGCUACGGCGCUUAAUGAUGGGUGUGCGGCUGAUUAGAUAGUUGGCGGGGUAACGGCUCACCAAGUCUACGAUCAGUAGCUGAUGUGAGAGCAUGAUCAGCCACACGGGCACUGAGACACGGGCCCGACUCCUACGGGAGGCAGCAGUAAGGAAUAUUGGUCAAUGGACGCAAGUUUGAACCAGCCAUGCCGCGUGAAGGAUUAAGGUCCUCUGGAUUGUAAACUUCUUUUAUUUGGGACGAAAAAGGGCCUUUCUAGGUCAACUGACGGUACCAGAUGAAUAAGCACCGGCUAACUCCGUGCCAGCCGCCGCGGUAAUAC
rnacentral:rRNA from 1 species